rnacentral:rRNA from 1 species
UACAGAGGGUGCGAGCGUUAAUCGGAAUUACUGGGCGUAAAGCGCGCGUAGGUGGUUUGUUAAGUUGGAAGUGAAAGCCCCGGGCUCAACCUGGGAACUGCUUUCAAAACUGGCAAGCUAGAGUAUGGCAGAGGGUGGUGGAAUUUCCUGUGUAGCGGUGAAAUGCGUAGAUAUAGGAAGGAACACCAGUGGCGAAGGCGACCACCUGGGCUAAUACUGACACUGAGGUGCGAAAGCGUGGGGAGCAAACAGG